UACGAAGGGGGCGAGCGUUGUUCGGAUUUACUGGGCGUAAAGGGCGCGUAGGCGGCGGGUCAAGUCGAGUGUGAAAGCCCCGGGCUCAACCUGGGAAUUGCGCUCGAGACUGGUCUGCUUGAGUUCGGGAGAGGAGAGUGGAAUUCCCAGUGUAGAGGUGAAAUUCGUAGAUAUUGGGAAGAACACCGGUGGCGAAGGCGGCUCCCUGGUUGGAUACUGACGCUGAGACGCGAAAGCGUGGGGAGCAAACAGG
rnacentral:rRNA from 1 species